UACUUGCUGCUUAUUUUCAUUUAAUAGAAGAUAAGUAUGUUAAUUUCCUGCUAAAAUCUAUAGAUGUGGUGGCCAUUGACUGGUAGCAUUUGCCAAAGUUAUCACAAGUGGAAGGAAUAGCAUACUCUACAAAGUUUCAAAAUGAGUAGCUCAUACACACAUGCCUGUGAAGGGACCUGAACAGUGACUUGCAGGAUAUAACGGCUAGUGUGGGAUGUCAUCAGUUUGUAUUCUUUGUAACUGAAUAAUCAUACUUUUCAAUUAAAUGUAUAUUUUACCUUGAUGUCAGUUAUCUAAUUUUUAUCAUUUUAGUAUGGGAGAACACACCCAACUACUGUGGUAAGCACGAGUGAAUGGCAGGGUAAUCUGAACACUGUGCUCACAGACUAAUCACAUUAUAACAGGGCAUUUAUUUAAAUAAAUUUCUUGUUUGAGUUAAUAAUAUUUCAUCACUAUGAAAGAAAACAGUGUAAAUCCAUAAGAUAAGGCAAUUUCAAAUGUACUAGUAAGAGGGAAUCUUAGUAAAUGUGGUUGCGUUCUUGCACUGUUUUAAUUACCUUUUUGUCAGUCUGUUUUCUUCCAAGACUGAUUUGUCCACUGCGCACAUUUCAAAUACCAUGUAUAAAACAUUAAGCUAAAUACUGAGAGAAGUGGAAGAUACAAGAAUCAAUGACAGCUCAUGCCUUCAAGCUCAGGGUAGAAGUCAUUUUAGAAGCUGAAUUGUCAGUUGAAGACAGAAGGUUCUGUGUGUUUGGAGCACACAGGCAGCCUGUUAGAGAGUGGUAGGGCUGGAAGUCAUGCUGCAAAGAGCUAAAUAUUUAAGAGUGAUAAAUAAACACUGUCCCUGGUACACUUGGGAUAAAGCCCGAAGUCCUCUCUCCACCAUGUGAGAUGGCUGGCCUGACUCUCCUUCGGUCUUCUCUUGACACAUUGCCCUUUUUUCUGGUCCUCCAAGUCACCAUGUUCUCUCCUGUCGAGGACUUUCACACAUCUAGUUCCCUUUACCUGGAUGCUACUUCUCUUGUUCUUUGCCUCGCCAAUUUCCUAUGCAACCUUUCCAAGACACCCUGCCAUUGCUGCUGUAUAAGAACAACCCCCCCCACACACCUGAACACCACUCAUACAAAAAGAGAAGAGCCCCCCGCCGAGGUUGUGCAGGAUGACAGCCCAACCUGAAUUAGGUCCCCCUGUUGAAACUGUUGAAGCCUCAGGUGUUUUUCUUUUGUGACAGUUGUUUUGAAUUCAUAAGUGUAUCGGCUUAUCUGUGUAAUGCAAUCAUAAACUCCCUGAGGGAGGGGCCUUGCCAGUUUGUGUCCCCAGGCUCUGGUACAUAGUCACUUUUCAGGAAGUGUUUUCAAGCGAAUGAACAAAUGUAGAUCACUCCUCAAAUCUGGUGGUUCGGCAGGAAAGAAAAAGAAGGGUGUUAGCUGAAAUCGGUGAUGUGUUCACGGGAAUGGAUCACGGGUCAGUCUCAGGACCGGGAAACUGGAAUAUUUCCGUAGGCAAAAGGAAAGGAACCAUUUGAGGAGUAACUGAAGAUGUAAAAGGACGAGGGAAUCAUUUGUGGAUUACAGUUCUACAGGAGUUAUGUGAUGGAAGGGUUAGCCUUAGAAAGAAGAGGAUGCCUGUGUACCCUGAGACAGAAGAGAGAGAAGGGUUUGGAAAUAAUAAUCUAGUAGUGAGGACUCAAGUAAAAUCUAAUCAAGUAAAAGCUGGGAUCUAUAACAUACGUGAUAAAGGAGGGAGCAUUGACUCCUUACAAAUAAGACCAGCUUGCAGUUUCCCUUGGUUAAGAUUUGAAUACUUCAAAAUGUAAAACUUACAGACUCAUAUUAUGAACAUCAGUGGGAAGUGAACUUCAAAGCUUAUUGAUUUUGUUAAUAUUUUCAGUUGAGGCAAACUGUAACCUAAACCUAUAUAUGACUCAAAACAUUUCUUUUCUCCUUUUUCUAAAUACUUAAGUGUAAAUUAUAACUUACUACUUUAAAGCAUGAUGCUGAGAGCUGUAAACUUCAGUCAAACCGUUUAACUGUGUACCAGUUCUCUAGAUGUUAAAUUUAGUUGAGCUUCACAUGAAAAAUUAAGGAAGAUAAGCUAACUCAGACACGUGUUUAUGACCCUUAAUUUAAGAUAAACAUAGAGCUUAAACUGAAUCAGGUGCAUACAUUUCAGUGUUUUUUUGGCAAUGUACCCUAUUCCCACACAGUUAAAGAAUUUCAUUAGUAUACAUAGAUAUAGCAGAGUAAUGCAAAACAUUAAACAAUGUUAGUGUAGAUGCAAGUGACAAUUUAUGUAUUCUAUUUAAUUUAAUGAAUGUAUAAGAAUGGUAUAAAAAUCAUAAAAAAUCAUAAGAUAUUUGUCUUUAUUACACUACAGUUAGGGCCAACUCUUUAAAUGUAACAUUGGCAGGAGAAUUUCUGAAUUUUAAAUUAUGGCUUCAGUUGAAUGAAGUACUCUUACGUAAGUGAUUUCGAAGGUACUUGGCAGAUUAAAUCUUACAAAAUGGUCUGAGACAUUUCGAUUUGGGGUUGAAAACACCAGUGCUCUCCAAAUGAAGGAGAAUUAAUUUUCAAGAUUAAUGUAGGAUUUUGAAAACACUGGCUUUACACUAAAAGAGACUAACUGGUGAGUGGUGUUCACUUGCAGCAUGAGAGUGGGGCUUCUCAGUGGGUUUUGUUUCCAGUCCUGCAGUCUCAUUCAGUUGUCAUACACACACUGCCCUCCUCCUCUCACGGAAGCAGCGCAAUCCUUCUUUUCUGUCCCCUUCACAUCAUAGCCCAGACCUGAGACAGAAAGUUAGGAAUUAAAGGCUAGGGCCGCCCUCAGCUGAGGUUCAGAACCAUCUUUCAUAGUCAGCAUGUGGCUUCCGAUGCUUAGAAACAUUCAGUAUUUGCCGAAUGAGUUAACUCUUACUUUGUACAACAGGUUAAUUUCCACGUGCUCUAGCAUUACUGUUGGAACCAGGAGUUCUAAAUACACACUUUUCUUUCUUGGUUUAUGUGUGCAAAGAAGAGCUAAGUUGCUUUCUAACAUCAUUAGCUUCGUUAAUUAGACUGUUACAUUUAACGUUGUAAAAAAAAAAAUAAACGUUUCAUAAUCUCAGGAGAUAAAUAAAAUACAGCUCUAGCGUUGUAGAACCGCCUUGGGAUUAAACUGUCAUUGUUUCUAUACCCAGCGGCCAGCGGGUAAGGAGAGCGCCCCUUCAUUCUGAGCAGGACUGUGGUGCUCUGGGUGGGAUCGUGUACGUUUUCAUUCUUUUGUGAUUAAAAAUGGCGUCUAAGAUUUUACUUUCAGUAUCAUGUUAGAGAUUUCAUUCCAUGACCAUUUGUUCAUUCACAUGUAUUUUUAUUUUUAGCUCUAAGGAAAGACAUGAGGCCUAAGACUGAGAUGAGGUGGUUUUGAGGCCAUCUGAUUUCUGGCUAGAAGGUGUGCGGUCGCCUGGUCCUGAAACCCCUGCAGACAGAAUGGUUUGCAAUUUUUUUUGGUGAUGGCAUGUUCAGAAUCUUGGAUCCCUAAGUUGAAUAUAUUGGAAAUAUUUAGGAACUCUGGAAAUUGUUGUUUUUGUAUAUAUAAUGACUUACUAGGUGAAUCAAUAGAUAUAAUAAAACAUAUAAAAUAGUAGGCAUUAUAAUUUUGUAUUUCUAAGUUGGCAUGCGUGUCUCAAAUUCUCAGCUGUUGGUAUUAGUGUCACGCCCUGCAGAUGGGUAUGUUUUGAAAAUUUAGGGGCUUUUAUGGACCUCAUAUUCCCUGAGGCUGUUUCUGUCAUUCCUCCCAUGCUGACUGGCCAGCUUCUUCUCCUUUCUGUCUGUGUUGUAGUGUAGUUUACUUAGAUCAGAGGUAAUUCUUGAUCAGGAGGAGAGAAGAUAAAAUAUUCAUCAUGUGACAAUCCUAAAGGUAAUAAUUACAGAACUUCAAGCUGGAAAUGGCCCCAGCGUGGUCUGUAUUAGAAUAUGCAAAUUCUCCCCAAAUUAUGUCCAGAUACACUAUGGCAAAAUGCCAGUUUUCGAAUCAGAGGUUAUUGUACAGAACAGACGUGCUAAUGGGGAGGGAAGGGAGCUGUUCAGUUCCACCUCCUCCUCUCUCCCUGUUGUUGGGUGAAUGAAUCAGGAAAGUAAAGUGGCCGAGAGGCCGAUGGUGUGAAUGGAAAGGAGAAGGAACAAAAUUUGACUUUCUAGGGAGUAUUUCCCCUUAGAAAAUUGAAAGUUGCCUAUAUUAUAUUCCAUGUACACUAUUUUAAAACUGUAGGCUCCUUUCAUGUAGACCCAGAAUGUGCACUAGGGCAGCCUCGCCCAGAGGACGGGAUGGAGAGACCUGCACUUGACAGGAGAAUCAGGCAGUCCGUGGUGCCUGGAGCGCCGUUACCAGUGGUUGUCUUCUUCUCUGACCUGUUCCUGCUGGGACUGAGAGACUAGAGAAGUGUUCUAGGAUGCAUAGUUAUUUCGAUGGUCAAAUAUGAUUGCCUCCCUGUUCUUUUGACCGAAACUGGAGAAAGGUUUGAUUUUUUAAGACUGUAUUCAGAGCAGCUUGAAAAAGGAUCAAAGGGAAAGGAUGAGGAGAAUUCAGGGAACUGUAGAGACUGAGUGGUAGCUAAGCAGAAUGUUAAUUCUUUGUUUAUUGCAAAUUUUAUUAUUGGUAGAUUGUCCAGUAAUACAGAAAUUGGUAUAGAACAGAAGUUUUCAUAACGUUUCUGUUGGAAGGCUUUUAGAAGCUAAGUAGUCUACACUGUAACCACGUGCUCCUCACCUUUGCUUUGCUUGGUUUAAGAGGAAUUGGCUGAUACAUAAUUUAAUAAAUGGCACAAUGAAGACAUCAGUUUUUAAAAAUCAAAUUACAUUUUAAUCUAAAUAUGUGUUGCCUGUUUAGCUGCUUUCCCAUUUCAACUGGCUUAAAAAAAAAACAACUCUCCUUCUGGGAUGCUUUUGUCAAUAGAGACGUUUCCUCUUAGCCAAUUCUAGCCACAGUAUUGACUGGGCCUAGGCAUUUGAUACACCUUGAAGGAAUUAGGCAGGAAAAAACUGGUCCCUCCUGGAAUGAAUAUUUUAAAGACCUUCUUAGAUUCUGACACUGUGAGUACACAUGAAGGAGACCCAAGAGAGAGGGAAAUUUAAGCGCCUAAGAACAAAAAUGAUGGUAGGAUUGGGGGUGUGGUAAACGCUCAUAUAACUUACCUAAGGUGCACUGAGGGCAAGGAAUUGACUUCCUAGAGAUCAGAGGUAGAGUGUGAACUCCCCUGGGCAGGAGGCCUUCUGAUGUUAAUUCAGCCAGCUCACACUGGCAUGCUGCAGUGUUCUUCAGGAUAGUGGCAGGUGAUCAGGAAAAUAUCAAUACAUUCCCUAAAAAUGAGUUCGAUUUUUAUUCUGGUAUGUUAUAUAUGGGCAUGUGGCUCACUUAUUAAAAAUAAGAAUCUUAAAUAUUAGUGAAAUAUUGCAAAAAUGAGUCUCUUGUCCCUGUUGUAUAACUUUAGAAAAUAAUGUAGACUACUGACAUAGUAGAGAAUUGAUGGCAUGAAUAUAAUCAAUAUUUGAUGGUUGCUUUCUAGAAACUUCUAAAUAAAACCUUGAGUUUGUUUAACAUUGGCCUCAGUUGUCCUACAGCAGCACUUCUAGUGUGUGUGUCUCACGGGAGAAUCUGCACCUUCUUGGACCACUGCACGUCACAGCCUUGCACAUCACUCUGAGGAUUCAGAAACUGAGCCCGUUACCCAGGGAUGGUUAGCUCUUUGAGCACAGUGGGUAAAUGAGGCCGCACAGAGAAAGUGAGCCUCUGACGAUGGCUCUUUGCAUUUGGAAGUUUAGACCCUUUCGGAAGACCAGAAGAAAGCUGUGGAUCCUUCCCCCAGCUUGGCUUCAGUUUCUGAGGGUAGAGGGGCGGCCCUUGGUUGUCCGGUCAGGAAGCCCUGAUCUAAAAGAUCGUCUUUAUUUUCCUUGGCCUGGCUGCAGCUUUGCUGUGACUCUUCAGGAGUGGUUCUCUAUCAGCUGUGAAUGGAAGGAUCUUAAGGACACUUACUGCCUUACACGCUGGGCUGAAGCCACAAGUCCCGAGUCUGUGAUGUCAUGGAGCCAGAGCUGCAGGGGGCUGGCUGCCCCAAAGGUGCCAACGGUAAAAACAGGGCCCGAGGCAUUGAAGUGUGGGACAGCCCUCCUAGGUAGGCCCUUCCUCCUGCUGGUGUAGGGGCAUUUAUUUCACAGUAGAUUGAAUAUUAAUGUUUUCUUGUUUUUUAAAAAAUGAGCAUAUAUCUUCUAAAUUUUGAAAUUACUAUAAAGGUUUUCUACCUAAGUGGUGACCCUCUUCUCAUGCUUUAGGAUAUCAAAUUCAUGAUGUGAAAUGUGUACUUCAAAUUAACAUAGUGACUGGAAAUUUGAAAUUCUGUUAUUUUGUGACCCUAAAAUUUGUAGCAGAUUUUCAGGAAAAUUGUCAAGAUUCCCAGAUACUUUGUCCUUUAUUCCUUUCAAGUUUCCUAAGUGUAUGAUUAUUUCUGAAUUUUAUUAAUCCAUUUAUAACUCUGGAGGAAACUGCCUUCAGUUCCUGUUUUGACACAAAAGGGAUGCUUUAUCUGACUAGAAAUGUGUUUUGACAAAAAAAUUCCACUUGAGUGGCUCUAACCUCCAUUUUGGAAUCUCAGAUCAACAGCUUAUGUCAUUCAUUGGGACUUUUCUGCAAAAUAACAGCUUCACUGAGGUCAUCCUUGAAAAAUGAAGAAAUCCGAAGAUAAUUUUGGGACGGAGUAGAGGGACGGAGGAGCGUCCUCAGACUGCAGCGCCGCACACGCCGGCUUCUCUGCUCGUGUACACGCAACACCAUUUGAAUGUCUGUUAUCAAUUGGACCUGUAGACAGAUACAGUGUAUCUUGAACGUGAGAAAAACACAAGUCCAGCUUCUCAGACUUUUGCGGAAAUACAGUCUCCUCUUGAUUGCCCACGCUGGCGGGGGGAGCUUGGUCCCUCCGCCUGACUGAAAUCAGACGUGUUUUCUGGAUUCGAAGGAGUUUUUGUAUUCCUUGUGGAACAGAGUGGGCUUUUACAUCGCCUGCCCUGCAGGGAGGAGCCUGAGUUCAUCCGGGCCCAGCUGCGUGUUCUCGGUCCUUCUCUCUUUUCUGUAAUGUUGCCCUAAAUGUGGGGAAAACAUUAAGCAUGUAGGAUUCCAGAAUUGAUCAGAAUCCUGUUAAGUAUGUCCCUCUUACCCUUCCCGGGCAAUUUGAUUCCAUUUGUGUUUCAACCUCUUCUAAAUGUUGCCCACGAUUAACCCCUUUGGUCUGAGGUCAGGAUAGAAUUAGAACCACUGUCCAGGCUGCUUCCCUCCUGUCGCGUUCUGUUCUGCCUGCGACAGGCGGUUUCAGUUGCCUCAUGAUGGAGGAGUCUGCUCAUCCUUGCAUUCCCGCCUCCCUCCCUGCAGGCUCUUGUGGGGAAAUAGAAUAGAUCUAGAUUUAGCAGUCCUGGCUGUCUCAAGAUUUGCCUAUAAAAGUUGGCGGCAUUGCGUUUAAAAUACAGCCUUUCAGCUGCGGUGUUGACAGGUGUCUCCAGCGGACGUCUGCUCUGUGCUGGGCCCUUGGCUGCAUGUGGCCAUUCGCUCUUUCCCUCCACCACCCAGUUCUCUUGAGGCCAGGAGUGCACCAUCACGCCUCGGGCACAGGGGCGCCUGGAGCUGGCUUCUGUGCCAGCUCGCUGUUCCCUGGAGCCGAGGGCUCAUCAGAUAGUUGAAGAGAGCCAUGUCUCCCCCAGGUGCUAGUAAAACAGAUCACAUGCAGAGAAAAUGAUUAUGUCAGUAAGAUUUUGAAAGCAAGAUUUGUCCAAAAAAAAAAAAAACCACCCAAUUUUAGAUUUACCCUCAUGAACCCACACUGACUGUAUCUUACUUUAAAAAAUACAUAAACUAACAUAACUCUCAAAACAUUACCCAGUUACUCUGACGUUUUCAAAAUGUGGUAUUUUCUCUAAGCAUUUUUUACACGUAGAUUGCAGAAGCGCGUGUAAAUGUGUUUUGUGUAAGAGUAUAUAUACUGUAUAAAAUAUUCUGACUCUUGCUCUAAUAAAAUUAAACUGAAGUGGUCUCGUUAUUUAAAGCCUAGUAGUUUGAAAUUAUUUUUUGAGUAAAAUUUUACAGCAUAUGAUACUAUUUUUUACUUUCAUGGAAUGUACAAAUAUUCUUAGAAGUUACUCAUGUCUGUGUGUUUCCCACAUAUUCCACAUAAAAUAAAAAUAUUGUAAACAGGGUCCAUGUCUCCAGUGAAAGUCUCCAAACUUUUGGCUGUAAUUACCAAGUGCUUGAGCUGGGCUGGCUGGAAAUGCAUAUCGAGUUUUUCUAUGUAUGUAGCAAACUUUGUCCAAAUAAAGUAGCUUUGUACUCUGAAGGA